CCUACGGGAGGCAGCAGUGGGGAAUAUUGGACAAUGGGCGAAAGCCUGAUCCAGCCAUGCCGCGUGUGUGAAGAAGGCCUUCGGGUUGUAAAGCACUUUCAGUGGGGAAGAAAGCCUUGGGGCUAAUACCCUCGAGGAAGGACAUCACCCACAGAAGAAGCACCGGCUAACUCCGUGCCAGCAGCCGCGGUAAUACGGAGGGUGCGAGCGUUAAUCGGAAUUACUGGGCGUAAAGCGCGCGUAGGCGGUCUGAUAAGCCGGUUGUGAAAGCCCCGGGCUCAACCUGGGAACGGCAUCCGGAACUGUCAGGCUAGAGUGCAGGAGAGGAAGGUAGAAUUCCCGGUGUAGCGGUGAAAUGCGUAGAGAGCGGGAGGAAUACCAGUGGCGAAGGCGGCCUUCUGGACUGACACUGACGCUGAGGUGCGAAAGCGUGGGUAGCAAACAGGAUUAGAUACCCCUGUAGUC
rnacentral:rRNA from 1 species